rnacentral:lncRNA from 1 species
AUCUCAAUUCCACGUGUUUAUUUCAUCAAUACCCUAAAGAAUACUAGUACACGGAUAAAAUAAAACACCAGAAAAGAAUUAUAAACAAAAAAAAAUCAGCAUCAAGGAAAAGAUCAUCACAGCUUCAAAAUAAGUUAAAAUCACCUCUAUAUAGCAAAACCCUAUUAGUUACAAACACCAACAAAGUUGAAAGGAAAACCUAAACUGUGUAAGCUGCUACAUCCAAAAAGAAGCCAUGGAAACAAAGAAGAAAAUAUUACACUGUAUAUAUACAGCUGAUGCCAAGUAGCGACGCCGACAAUAAGCCGCGGUCGUCGCUACUCAAGAGUCCACCGUAGAAAACUUAAAGCCAGGGGAGCCAUCUUAUGAAACAUGGGAUAAGCUAAUGUUCCAAGUAUAAAGCAGUUGAUGCUCAGGAGGGCAAGAGAUAGGGAUGCAGGUUUAUGCUCGACUCGUGCAAAUAAUUGGACAACGCUCAGCAACGACAUGGUGACAACGACAAACAGAGCGAUUACCAGAGGCGUGCAUGGAUCUUUGGCUUCCCAGGUGAUCACACCAACCACGAGGGAUAAGAAUACACUAAAUAGGCUCCGAGAUAGAGCUACCUCCCUCUCUCGCGCUAGAACACCCUCCUUUGAGAUCAUCCUUGCAAGCAUCUUCAUGUCAUCCUUGCAAACAUCUUCAAUCAGUUGCUUCUUUCGUAAUCAAGUCUGUUAUG